CCUACGGGAGGCAGCAGUGGGGAAUAUUGCACAAUGGGCGCAAGCCUGAUGCAGCAACGCCGCGUGAGGGACGACGGCCUUCGGGUUGUAAACCUCUUUUAGUAGGGAAGAAGCGAAAGUGACGGUACCUGCAGAAAAAGCACCGGCUAACUACGUGCCAGCAGCCGCGGUAAUACGUAGGGUGCAAGCGUUAUCCGGAAUUAUUGGGCGUAAAGAGCUCGUAGGCGGUUUGUCGCGUCUGCUGUGAAAACUGGAGGCUCAACCUCCAGCCUGCAGUGGGUACGGGCAAACUAGAGUGCGGUAGGGGAGAUUGGAAUUCCUGGUGUAGCGGUGGAAUGCGCAGAUAUCAGGAGGAACACCGAUGGCGAAGGCAGAUCUCUGGGCCGUAACUGACGCUGAGGAGCGAAAGCAUGGGGAGCGAACAGGAUUAGAUACCCUGGUAGUCCAUGCCGUAAACGUUGGGCGCUAGAUGUGGACGACUCUACGUUCCGUCGUCGCNGCUACGACAUAGUCGCCCGCCGUCGGGNGGUACGGCCGGCGACGGACGUAAACGUUAAACGUAAGUAGUUAGUUACGUGUUGAGACGCGACGACGACGACGACGGAGGAGGAGG
rnacentral:rRNA from 1 species